rnacentral:rRNA from 1 species
CGUCCAGACUCCUACGGGAGGCAGCAGUGGGGAAUAUUGCACAAUGGGGGAAACCCUGAUGCAGCGACGCCGCGUGAGUGAAGAAGUAUCUCGGUACGUAAAGCUCUAUCAGCAGGGAAGAAAAUGACGGUACCUGACCAAGAAGCCCCGGCUAACUACGUGCCAGCAGCCGCGGUAAUACGUAGGGGGCAAGCGUUAUCCGGAUUUACUGGGUGUAAAGGGAGCGUAGACGGCAGCGCAAGUCUGGAGUGAAAGCCCGGGGCCCAACCCCGGAACUGCUCUGGAAACUGUGCGGCUAGAGUACUGGAGGGGCAGGCGGAAUUCCUAGUGUAGCGGUGAAAUGCGUAGAUAUUAGGAGGAACACCAGUGGCGAAGGCGGCUUACUGGACAGUAACUGACGUUGAGGCUCGAAAGCGUGGGGAGCAAACAGGAUUAGAUACCCGGGUAA